CCGUGCUAGGCGGGGAGGUAGCGGUGCCCUGAACCCGCAAUCCGCUCUAGCGGGGCUGAAUUCCUCUCAGAGGGACUCCGGCCCCGGUCGCUCCGUCGCCCGGGGCGUCGAUGGUCCGGGUCCCCGCGCGGUGCCGGCUUGCGAAUCAGGUCAGGUCCGGAAGGAAGCAGCCUUAAGCGAUCACCGGCAGGCGCAGCGGGAGCUCCUGGACCGGAGUCGCGGGCUUCGAUCGGCACCGGGACUCGGCGUCUCGAAGAGGGGUGCACGG
rnacentral:SRP_RNA from 1 species